rnacentral:lncRNA from 1 species
AUAUGUCACCAGCUAACUAAAGCUCCCCAUUGUGUUUAUAGAUUUCUUUUAAAGGCACUUUUAAUGCCGUUUUACACAUUAGGAGAUAGUUAAUUUAGAAGUAAAUGGUAGACCACGAGAGGAGCCUUCUUCUUUUUCUUCUUUUUAAAUUGAUGUCCAUUUGCAUCUCAGCACAGCAACUCCACAAAUUCCUGACUCUCAAUCCUGAGAGUCCUGUCACAGGACUGCCUGCGGCAAUCAGUCCUGGUUUCUUUUUGAACAAGCUUUCUUUUAACACUUAAAUCCAGGGAUGAUUUAACAGAAAGUGUCUCAAGUCUAUGAGCUACAGCCCCCUUAGACUCUACCCAAACAAAGCUACUAAUGUGUGGUCAGUUUCUUGGCAACUCCACUCUCCGCUGAUAACGCUCCUGCCUGCUAUUCUCCAAGGAGCCGGCUGCUGGAAGACUGCUCCGAACCUCAUCCCCUUGGUGCUCCUGAUGCGGGCGAUCCUCCGACUGCUCGGCGCCAACCACAACAUGCUACCCACCGUGAGAGAGCAGGACGCGGGCUGCUCUAGUCAGGACUUAUCGUCUAUCAUACUGAUUGACGAAACCAAGAGUGAGCAGAAAAAAUAAACACGAACAGAGGCUGCAGUGUAUGGGCCAGUCAGCUGGGAGUUUUAGUAUUUGGCCUUGGUGAUCCUACUCUCAUGAUGGAGUUUCACUCUUGUUGCCCAGGCUGGAGUGUAAUGGCACGAUAUCAGCUCACCACAACCUCCACCUCCCGCGUUCAAGUGAUUCUCCUGCUUCAGCCUCCUGAGCAGCUGGGAUUACUGGCAUGCGCCACCACCCUGGCUAAUUUUGUAUUUUUAGUAGAGACAGGGUUUCUCCAUGUGGGUCAGGCUGGUCUUGAACUCCCGACCUCAGGUGAUCUACCCGCCUCGGCCUCCCAAAGUGCUGGGAUUACAGGCGUGAGCCACUGUACCAGGCCUCUAAUACUUUUAUUCAAGGAUUAAUAAAGCCUUUUAAUGCAAUGAUGUAAUUGCAUUUCAAGUUUCUUGAAACAAUUUCUAAAAUUUAUAGCAAUUUAGACAAUAACUAUUUAUUAAACACUCACUACAUGCUUAUCCCACAAUCCCUAAAAUGUGAUGGAUAUGCUGUCAUACUUUUGGCACUGAGAAAUUUUCUAAAAAAUACAAUUUUAUUGACAUAUAUUUAAACAGAAUCUUUGGACAUUAAGACUGUCUGCACAAAAAUUUCUCUAAAUUACUUUGUUAAAAAUGUGAUAGAAUUCAGUUAAACCUGAAAUUUGGGUCAAUAUGAUACCAACUAGCUGACUUUUGCCCAGUGAACCUACAUAGCUGCUCCAUUUCUUCAUCUCUAAAAUGAGAAUUAUCAUAAUACUUAUGUCAUAGAUAGGUUGUGAAGAUUAAAUAAAAUCAUGUGUUUAAGUAUUUAGGAUAGCACCUGGCACAGGGUAAAAACAAUAUGUUAACUAUUUUUAUUAUGUAUGUAUUUAGAAGUUUCAAGUAAUUCUAAACUUGACAAUAUUAUUAGAAUUGCAUUACAAUUACUUGGGAAAAUCACUCCAAACCAAUUAAUCUGAAUCUAUGAGGAUAAUUAUAAUGUGUAGCUAGAAUUGAAAACCUGUGAUGAAGAUAUAGAAAUUCAGCAGAUUGGUGGCCCCUAAAUGAUUUGUUUUCGCUACUUCCUUGUGUCCUCCUAAAGCAAAGCUCAACUCAGUGAUUUGCAGAUAGUAGAUGCUUAAUCAUCAAAUAAAAUGGAAAACUGCUAAAUCUACCUCUUAGUUUGUAUUGCACAAAUUCUUAGUCUAAGUCUCUAUACAUGGUAUAACAUGUUCAGGGAUGCAUUUCUAGGCACUGUUCUAGGAAUACCCUUUUGUUGUCUGUCAAUUUGACAUCUCUCUAUUCAUCUCUUCUUUGAGUACUAUUCUUUGGGUACUGUUAUGGUACCCAAGAUUAUGUCCUCAUAUAUUAAAGCCCUAACACCCAAUGCCUGAGAAUAUGACCAUAUUUGGAGAUAGGACCUACAAGUAUUAGUUAAAAUGAGCUGUUAUCGUGGGCCAUAAUCUAAUCUGAUUAGCGUACUUCUAAGAAGAGAAAUGUUGGAAACACAAAGAGACACCAGAGGCAUGCAUGCUCAGAGGAAAGAUCAUGUAAGUAGGGCAUAGUAAGUAGGUAGAGAUCUGCAAGCCAAGGAGAGAGGCCUCAGAAGAAACCAAGCCUGCCAAUGCCUUGAUCUUAGACUUCUGGGCCCCGGAAUUGUAAGGAAAUGUAUUUCUGUUGCUUAAGUCACUCAGUCUGUGGUACUCUGUUGGGACAGCCCUAGUAAACUAUUACAAGUACGUUCAUCUCUCCAUCCCAUUUAUAGGCAGG